UGCUUUAUGCACUAUGGAUUUGAUUUUAGUAUCCGGAAUUUUCUUAAUGUUAUGAAAAAAAAGUUACUUUCAUUUUAAUACACAUUUCCGUAAAAGCACUUCUUUUUAAUGAUGUUAGCCAGCAUUCCCUUAGGAUAGCCCGCGGAGAAUAAAUGAAUCGAUUUUAGGGAAAAUCGAUUCUAUU